GGUGGAUGCCUUGGCACCAGGAGGCGAUGAAGGACGUGGCACGCUGCGAGAAGCCACGGGGAGCCGCGAGCAGGCGUUGAUCCGUGGAUGUCCGAAUGGGGCAACCCACCCCUAUGGGGUAUUGUCCGCUGAAUCUAUAGGCGGGUGAGGCGAACCCGGGGAACUGAAACAUCUCAGUACCUGGAGGAAAGGACAUCAACAUGAGACUCCGUCAGUAGCGGCGAGCGAACGCGGACCAGCCGAGCCAUGAGACUGACCAGAACCACCUGGGACGGUGGGCCAGAGCGGGUGACAGCCCCGUAUGGGAAGGUUGAUUGGACGCAUCAAGUAGGGCGGGACACGUGCAAUCCUGUCUGAAGAUCGGGGGACCACCCUCGAAGGCUAAGUACUCCUUGCUGACCGAUAGCGAACCAGUACCGUGAGGGAAAGGUGAAAAGCACCCCGACGAGGGGAGUGAAACAGUACCUGAAACCGAACGCCUAC
rnacentral:rRNA from 1 species